AAUACAUUUCCUCCACUUUUCUAACAAGAGGAGUAUGGCUGCUGAGUUAAAAAUCCGAGAUAUUUUCUGGAAUAUGGAGUAUUUCUCUAUGCUUUUGUUGCAGAUUUAUUUGUAUGUAUCUUAUUGAAAACUACUGGAGAUGGGACAAAACUGUGAUUUGCAAGACCUCUUAGCUUUGGAAGAACCUAGUCUGUAUUCCCCAUGUACAAAUAUCUCCCUAGCUGGCACUGUAAGAGCAGAAUCUUAAUGCACUACUUCGGGUUUCUUCUGUGGAGCAUUGGUUUGAUGUGGCCUCUGCCUUUUGACUGGCUAAUCAGGGUCCACAGGGACUGAAGAUGGGUUCCAAGAGAGUACAAUUGAUUAGAUGCAUAUUUUCUGCCUUAUACACCAGACCACACCCAGCUGCACAGCUUUUCCCAGGUGGCAGAAAUUCCCUGGCUUGUUUCCCCCACCGUGUGUAUAUCAUCCUAGCAGCCAGAGUAAAAUUUUGCUUUGAUUUGGGAGUCCGUUACACCAUGAUAACAUGAUUGCUUCAAGGAACGUGUUCUGAUAGGUACAACAUGCUUCUACCUGUACUAGCAACACCAAACUCUUAGUCUGUUGCUGGAGAAGUUCACGCAAUAAAAGCAACAGCUAAUCUGGUCUGAUUGUAGCCAAGUGGUCUCCAACUCUGCAAACCUUUACCAUCUUUGUUUUGCUGGACUAGUUUUGUCUUUAAAAUCCUGUGCCCGCCGAAUGGCAGAAGAAUGUCCACCUGGCUUCCUGAAAAACUUUUGAGAAUUCAGCUCCCAGUUCACAAGAGCAGCUUUCAAGAAAUACAGGCUGAGAGUUCGGGUCCCUCUGAAGCCAGUGGCAGAAGCCCCGUCAGCUUCAGUAUGGUCACAAUUUCAUUCAUUAUAUUGGUUCAGCGGCUACAACAGUUUUCAGCUCGUUCCUACAGAUCAAUGUCAGGUGUGUUUGUUAUUUUAAACCACACAAUUUCUUUAGAAAAGUAAAUAUCUGACUACUUUAACAUUCCAACGAGCAAGAUAGGGAGUCUGUCAGGGGCAUGUCUGUAUUUCACACAUUUUUAACAUAUGUAAUUGAAUGGCUACCUGGUAACUACAAUGAAAGCUGUGCCGCUUUUCCUGCUGCUCUCAAAGGGUGUUUCUGUACAUCGCCAGAAGGUGGCAUUCAUGGCUAACAGUUAGAGGAAUCAAUAUACGUUAUUUCUCCUUUGCAUAUGAGAGAGGGUAGAAAGAGGUUUCUUAGUAUAGUGGCAGUUACUCAAUUAACCAUGAUGCUUAAACUAUUGCAAGAAAUUUGAUUUGUGUUUUCUUUGUUUUACUAGGAGUGGCAGAGUUAUCCAGUAGUAGACAUUAAUCUUCAUGAUGAGACAGCAGGGACCUGGCAAGUUAUAUUCAUCUUCCUGUAAAGUAUUUGAUAGUAAAAGUCAUUGUCUUCAGUUACGUCAUUUUGUUCCCCCGAAUAAGCCAGUUUCCAAUAAUUCUUUGACGGCUCUAAUACCCACUGCUAUCAGAACAGAACAACAGCCAGAGAUUGAGGAAAGUUAGGAUAGAAGGUCUCUGCAGGAUCAUGGAGAAGCAUGUGGAAUAUAAACACAGGAAGGAGACAAGACGAGAAGCACAGAUCUGGAUAACGGUAAAGCAACACAUAUGGAAAGUCCGCUUGAGAAGAACAAUCACACAUGCCAAAAAUAAUUCACUAGCUACAUUUAGUUAGAAGAUCUGGGGAGCAAACAUUAGCAUCCUAAACAAAUGAAGCAGGUUAGCCAGAGUGUCUACCGGCCCCAGGGUCACAUACUGCUGCUCUAACUGCCAGCAGCAUCCGCGCGGAACGCGGAGCUUUCCAAGCUCUGGCCAGUGCUGGCUGUGGAGAGCAGACUGUCUGUUCUCUUCCCUUUCUUAUGAAAUGUGUACUGCAGUGCAAAGCCAUGUCAGAAACACCUGAGCUUGUUUAUCUGCACAGAAAGUGCUGUGAUAUGCAGAAUUGCUUGUUUCUGUUCCAGAAGCAAAACCAUAGCGUUAGCCCGCUCCUGUACAUUAACAUAUUUUCAUAUCACUGACUUUUUUUUUUUUUAAUUUUAAAUAAUUGUUUCAUUUAAGUAUAUAGAAAGGGUGCUAAAACAGGCUCACAAAAUGUCCUCACUGUCCUGGGCAUUUUUUUUUGCAGAAGGAUUCUCUUCUUUCUGACUUUGUUAUUGGAGUAGCUUGCUGUUGGCAUUGAUUUUCCAGUGUCAGGUCCUGCAGCAUCAAACCUGGGAGCUGACACCAGCAAAAUAAUGAAAUGGAAGAAACUUGGGACUAAUUUCAUCCAGUGUUGUAGUCCUUUGGAUUUCACUCUGGAACACUACGUUAUACAUUACUUCAUUUACUUGGGUCACUACUCAAGUAUCAGUGUCAAUUCAGUUUAGUAUUCCCCUCUUUUGUCUAGAACUGUGGAAUCGGCUGAACUCCCUCCUUUUUAGAAAAGCGCACACCCUGCUGUCUGAGCCUGCUUUAUUUUUAAUGCUUUCUACAAAUUUACUUUUGUAAAGCAGGGUAUUGGCCAACUGUUCUUUGAAAUGGCAUACUUUUCCUAGGGGAUCCCCUUUUCAGAAUGCUUAUUUUCUAAACACUAGUUUCCAAAUAUAUUCUUUUCCAAUGACCAAAAACCCACAGCUUAU